CUCCAGAUUCCACGCUUGCCUUUGAAAGCAAUUAAGUUUCUAGCACUUCUGGGAGCGACAAAGCUCCAUCUACGCAACCUGCCUGCUGCGCUCGCUGAGCCUGCGGCCUGGCAGCCCACACCACAGCACUAAGAGAGCACUAAGAACUUCCCCUCGACUCGUCUGGGAGUGGAGACUACGUGUGUUUGGCGGUCGGAGCUGCUGAGCGUUCCUAAGUCCAGGUGAAAUCAGUGGGAGCAACAUGUGCUCAGCACCUCGGGAAGCUGCCAGCAGGCCUUUUGAGCAUUGCACUGCUCGCUCAUCGGUCUAUCUGCUCCCUGUGCCAUACAGCGAGACACCCGGCUCCUCGAACAUGCUCAGUAAAGGGAACUGAAAAACAAGCUGACAACCAAAGGACCGUAGUGAAACACAGGCUCUGGUUUUAAAGGACAUUCAUGCUGUAGAGGAUCACGAGAAGAUUUUUCCUUUCCCCCCCACAAUUUUAAUACAGGAACAUCGCAAUUACAGCCAGGAAGAAAAAAGCACUGCUCAAAACUCCGUGUAUUUUUAUCUACGCAUAUGUGAUUACAAGUGACUUCUUUGACACCAGAUAUGCCGUGCAUUCUGUGCACAUCGCUGCAGCUUUAACCAUG
ensembl:lncRNA